UCACAGAGUUGCAUGUGUGUAUGUAUAAGUUCUUUGAAAGAGCUCUUGGGACCUGAGAGCAGUGAUCGUAAAAUUGCUUCCAAUCUACUACAAUGACUCUUCCUUGGCAACCAAAAACUAUGGAAUAUUUGUUUGUUUUUACUCUUGCCAUGCUGCUAUGA